rnacentral:rRNA from 1 species
CAACUCUAUGCGGUGGAUCACUCGGCUCGUGCGUCGAUGAAGAGCGCAGCCAGCUGCG